rnacentral:rRNA from 1 species
GUGCACCAGGCGCGAAACUUUACAAUGUGCGAAAGCACGAUAAGGGAACUCUGAGUGCCUCCUAAGGAGGCUGUUCAGGUGUCUAAAAGCACCUGAAGGAAGGGCUGGGUAAGACCGGUGCCAGCCGCCGCGGUAACACCGGCAGCCCAAGUGGUAGCCACGUUUAUUGGGUCUAAAGCGUCCGUAGCCGGCUGGGUAAGUUCCUUGGGAAAUUUGGCUGCUUAACAGUCAAGCUUUCAGGGAAUACUGCUCGGCUUGGGACCGGGAGAGGUCAGAGGUACUCCAGGGGUAGGGGUGAAAUCCACUAAUCCUUGGGGGACCACCGGUAGCGAAGGCGUCUGACCAGACCGGGUCCGACGGUGAGGGACGAAGGCUAGGGGCGCG